UAUCAUAAUUGGAGGGCAAUGUAUUUGAAGCAUAUGACAAUUCCAUAUUGUUAAAUUGUUCCUUCGUUUCAGAGGAGUAUGAAAAUAGAACUUCCAAAUGCAGGAUUAGCUCACCUGAGAUUUUUCAGACCCCACCAAAGACAGUAGAAGUACUUGUUGAAAAACGUUGAGGUUGUGACAUGGAAAGUUAUUGAAUCACCAUAUAUACCAAAUUGAUAAAAGGGAUCAUUUGGAUUGCAUGUGUUUUUGAUGUUGCUCAUACGAAACCACGAGCCCCUUUGAGGGUCAUCGAUCUUAUGACAGUCGAAGAAUCCAUUGUUACAAGAUUUGUCAAACUUACAAAGUGUUCUCCAGCAUGCUUCUUGUCGCUCAAUUGAAAGAAGGAUCAGGUUAUAAGCAGCUCCAGCCCAUGCUGUCUGUGUCACAAGUCCAGUGGCCUUAACAAUUUGUGUUGAGAGAGGAAAUAUGAGAAAAAGCCUUGGGAUGUACUGGAAAAUGAGAAAGAACCGCAGAAAGUUCUUG